CACGUAGGGGGCAAGCGUUGUCCGGAUUUAUUGGGCGUAAAGAGCUCGUAGGUGGUUCGGUAAGUCGGGUGUGAAACCUCCAGGCUCAACCUGGAGACGCCACCUGAUACUGCUGUGACUGGAGUCCGGUAGGGGAGCGUGGAAUUCCUGGUGUAGCGGUGAAAUGCGCAGAUAUCAGGAGGAACACCGGUGGCGAAGGCGGGUCUCUGGGCCGAUACUGACGCUGAGGAGCGAAAGCGUGGGGAGCGAACAGG
rnacentral:rRNA from 1 species